rnacentral:lncRNA from 1 species
GACCCGACUGCGGCACCGUGGCCGCCGCUCCCUCCUCCCGGUCCUGCAGGUGCUGCGGGCGGCCCGGCUCCGCCGCGCCCCGCGCCCCCGGCCUUCCGCCUCGGCCCCUGCCGCGGGGCCUCGCGACGCCCGUGCCGGCGAUGAGCGCGAGGAGCCGCCAUGAGCGCAGACAGCAGCCCGCUCGUGGGCAGCACGCCCGCCGGCUAUGGGACCCUGACGAUCGAGACAUCUACAGAUCCCCUCAGCUCCUCAGUUUCAUCCGAGAGGCUCAGCGGCUACUGUGGCAGUCCGUGGAGAGCCGUCGGCUACCACGCCGUGGUCUGGACGCUGGCGGGGCUCCCUUUGCUCCUGUUCCGGUGGAAGCCCCUGUGGGCGGUGCGCCUGCGGCUCCGGCCCUGCAGCCUGGCCCGCGCGGAAACACUCGUCAUCGAAACAAGAGACAGAGAGGAUAGUUCAUGGCAGCUCUGUACGGUCCAAGUGCAGACGGAGGCCAUCGGCGCUGACAGCCUGCAGCCGCCCCCACAGACGCGGGCAGAGGAUGGCCGGAGCCGGGCGGCUGUGGGGGCAGAGCCGGAGGAUGCCUGGAAGGACACCGCACGGCUCCACAGGCCUGAAGAGCAGCGGAGGCUGCGCUACUACGUCUUCCGAGGCCAGCGCUACGUCUGGAUAGAGACCCAGCAGGCCUUCUGCCAAGUCAGCCUGCUGGACCACAGCCGCACCUGUGACGACCUCCGCCGUGCCAGCGCUGGCCUCAGCCUGCAGGACCACACUGUGAGGAAGGCCGUCUACGGCCCCAACGUGAUCAGCGUCCCGGUCAAGUCCUAUCCCCAGCUGCUGGUGGACGAGGCACUGAACCCGUACUAUGGGUUCCAGGCCUUCAGCAUCGCGCUGUGGCUGGCCGACCACUACUACUGGUACGCGCUGUGCAUCCUGCUCGUCUCCGCAGUCUCCAUCUGCCUGUCCGUCUACAGGACCAGAAAGCAAAGCCAGACCCUGAGGGACAUGGUCCAGCUGUCUGUACGGGUGUGCGUCUGCAGGCCCGGGGGAGAGGAGUGGGUGGACUCCAGCGAGCUGGUGCCCGGAGACUGCCUGGUGCUGCCCCAGGAGGGCGGCCUGAUGCCCUGCGACGCGGCCCUGGUGGCUGGCGAGUGCGUGGUCAACGAGAGCUCCCUGACAGGGGAGAGCGUCCCAGUGCUGAAGACGGCCCUGCCCGAGGGCCCAGCGCCCUACCUCCCAGAGGCCCACCGGCGGCACACACUCUUCUGCGGGACCCUCAUCUUGCAGGCCCGGGCCUUUGUGGGACCCCACGUCCUGGCGGUGGUGACGCAGACAGGGUUCUGCACGGCCAAGGGGGGCCUGGUGAGCUCCAUCCUGCACCCCCGGCCACUCAGCUUCAAGUUCUACAAGCACAGCAUGAAGUUCGUGGCCGCCCUCUCGGUUGUGGCUCUGCUUGGCACCAUCUACAGCAUCGUUACCCUCCUCCGCAACCGGGUGCCCCUGGGCGAGAUCGUGAUCCGGGCGCUGGACGUGGUGACGGUGGCCGUGCCGCCCGCCUUGCCGGCCGCCAUGACCAUGUGCGUGCUCUACGCCCAGAGCCGGCUGGAGAGCCAGGGCGUCUUCUGUAUCCACCCGCAGCGCAUCAACCUGGGAGGCAAGCUCCGGCUGGUGUGUUUCGACAAGACGGGUACCCUCACUGAAGACGGCUUGGACGUGAUGGGGGUGGUGCCCCUGGAGGGGCAGGAAUUCCUGCCGCUGGUCUCGGAGCCCCGCCGCCUGCCCGUGGGGCCCCUGCUCCGGGCACUGGCCACCUGCCACACCCUCAGCCGGCUGCGGGACACCCCAGUGGGCGACCCCAUGGACCUCAAGAUGGUGGAGUCGACUGGCUGGGUCCUGGAGGAGGGACCAAUUGCAGACUCGACAUUUGGGACCCAGGUUUUGGCGGUGAUGAAACCCCCGCUCCAGGAGCCCCACCUGCAGGGCAUGGAGCCCCCGGCGCCGGUCAGCAUCCUCGGCCGCUUCCCCUUCCUGUCAGCGCUGCAGCGCAUGAGCGUGGUGGUGGCCUGGCCCGGUGCCGCCCAGCCCGAGGCCUGCGUCAAGGGCUCUCCCGAGCUGGUGGCCAGCCUCUGCGACCCCGCGACAGUGCCCGCCGACUUCGCCCUGAGGCUGCAGAGCUACACGGCCGCGGGCUACCGCGUGGUGGCCCUCGCUGGUAAGCCGCUGCCCGUCACAGCCAGCCUGGAAGCCGCUCAGCAGCUGCCCAGGGACGCUGUGGAGCAGCAGCUGAGUCUCCUGGGGCUGCUGGUCAUGCGGAACCUGCUGAAGCCGCAGACGCCGGGCGUCAUCCAGGCUCUGCGCAAGACUCGCAUCCGCACCGUCAUGGUGACGGGGGACAACCUGCAGACGGCGGUCACUGUGGCCCAGGGCUGCGGCAUGGUGGGCCCCCGGGAGCGCCUGGUGAUUGUCCACGCCGCGCCCCCUGAGCGGGGCCAGCCUGCCUCCCUUCAGCUCCAGCCAGUGGAGUCCUUCACAGCCACGAAUGGGGCCCAGAAUCCUGACCUGGCUGCCAGCUACACCGUGGAGCCAGACCCCUGGUGCAGCCACCUGGCCCUCAGCGGGUCCAGCUUCGGCGUCCUUGUGAAGCACUUCCCCAAGCUGCUGCCCAAGGUGUUGGUCCAGGGCACCAUCUUUGCCCGCAUGGCGCCCGAGCAGAAGACAGAGCUGGUGUGUGAGCUGCAGAAGCUGCAGUACUGUGUGGGCAUGUGUGGGGACGGCGCCAACGACUGCGGGGCCCUGAAGGCGGCGGAUGUGGGCAUCUCGCUCUCCCAGGCCGAGGCCUCGGUGGUCUCCCCCUUCACCUCCAGCGUGGCCAGCAUUGAGUGUGUGCCCAUGGUCAUCAGGGAAGGCCGCUGUUCCCUGGACACGUCGUUCAGCGUCUUCAAGUACAUGGCCCUGUACAGCCUGACCCAGUUCAUCUCUGUGCUGAUCCUCUACACGGUCAACACCAACCUGGGCGACCUGCAGUUCCUGGCCGUGGACCUGGUCAUCACUGCCACGGUGGCCGUGCUCAUGAGCCGCACGGGGCCGGCGCGGGCGCUGGGGCGGCCUGCUGCUGCAAGUGGUCCUGGUGGCGGGCGUGCAGCUGGGGGGCUACUUCCUGACGGUGGCCCAGCCCUGGUUCGUGCCUCUCAACGGGACCGUGCCUGCACCGGACAACCUCCCCAACUACGAGAACACGGUGGUCUUCUCCCUGUCCAGCUUCCAGUACCUCAUCCUGGCGGCCGCCGUGUCCAAGGGGGCGCCCUUCCGCCGGCCUCUGUACACCAACGUGCCCUUCCUGGUGGCCCUGGUGGUCUUGGGCUCCGUCCUGGUGGGCCUUGUCCUGGCCCCCGGGCCUCUGCAGGGGCCGCUGGCGCUGAAGAGCAUCACCAGCACCCCCUUCAAGCUGCUGCUGCUGGGCCUGGUGGCCUUCAACGUCGUGGCAGCCUUCAUGCUGGAGGUGGGGCCUGCCCCGGGCUGGGGUUGGGGGGGCGCUGGCGGGGGACUCGGCCUCAGCCGCCCCCGCACCGCCCUGUCCCCGCAGAGCCUGCUGGACCAGUACCUCCCGGGCUGCCUGCGGCAGCUCCGGCCCAAGCGGGCCUCCAAGAAGCGCUUCAAGCAGCUGGAGCGGGAGCUGGCGGAGCGGCCGUGGCCGCCGCCCGCCGGGCUCGUGAGGUAGCGCCCCCUGCCGGCCCCAUGAGGCAGCGCCCCCUGCCUGCCACGCGAGGUAGCGCCGCCAGCCGGGCCCGUGAGGUGCCGGCCCCAUGAGGCAGCGCCCCCUGCUGGCCCCAUCAGGUAGCGCCGCCCGGCGGCCCGCGCCCUGCACACUGGACCUGCUGCCUCUGAGCCUCCACUGGACCCCAGACCCCCUCCGCCAUUCCCCCCGCAGCCCCGAGGCUGCAGCUUCCCACCUACCCCUAGGGAGAUGCUAGCUAUCCACAUCCCCCACUCCGGACAUUCCAUGUAGACGACAGCCACUGCUCCAGGCAGAGCCGCUGUCAAUGUAGCAAAUAAAGUCCUAUUUUCCUGGCCGUGCCUGUCUCCU